AUUGAACGCUGGCGGCAAGCCUAACACAUGCAAGUCGAACGAGUGGCGGACGGGUGAGUAAUGUCUGGGAAACUGCCUGAUGGAGGGGGAUAACUACUGGAAACGGUAGCUAAUACCGCAUACCAUCGGAUGUGCCCAGAUGGGAUUAGCUAGUGGGUGGGGUAAAGGCUCACCUAGGCAACGAUCCCUAGCUGGUCUGAGAGGAUGACCAGCCACACUGGAACUGAGACACGGUCCAGACUCCUACGGGAGGCAGCAGUGGGGAAUAUUGGACAAUGGGCGCAAGCCUGAUGCAGCCAUGCCGCGUGUAUGAAGAAGGCCUUCGGGUUGUAAAGUACUUUCAGCGGAGAGGCGUUACCUGCAGAAUAAGCACCGGCUAACUCCGUGCCAGCAGCCGCGGUAAUUC
rnacentral:rRNA from 1 species